UUGAACGCUGGCGGCAGGCCUAACACAUGCAAGUCGAGCGGAUGAAGGGAGCUUGCUCCUGGCUUCAGCGGCGGACGAGUGAGUAAUGCCUAGGAAUCUGCCUGGUAGUGGGGGAUAACGUCCGGAAACGGGCGCUAAUACCGCAUACGUCCUGAGGGAGAAAGUGGGGGAUCUUCGGACCUCACGCUAUCAGAUGAGCCUAGGUCGGAUUAGCUAGUUGGUGGGGUAAGGGCCUACCAAGGCGACGAUCCGUAACUGGUCUGAGAGGAUGAUCAGUCACACUGGAACUGAGACACGGUCCAGACUCCUACGGGAGGCAGCAGUGGGGAAUAUUGGACAAUGGGCGAAAGCCUGAUCCAGCCAUGCCGCGUGUGUGAAGAAGGUCUUCGGAUUGUAAAGCACUUUAAGUUGGGAGGAAGGGCAGUAAGUUAAUACCUUGCUGUUUUGACGUUACCAACAGAAUAAGCACCGGCUAACUUCGUG
rnacentral:rRNA from 1 species